GGGGGGAGGCUAGCAGGAUGUGAGGAAUUUACAUAGUAAACAGCAGCUGACCACAUUGUAGGGGGGAAGGGAAUAUUUACUCUAGAAGCCAGUUUUAACAUAGUGAACAGAGAAUAAAUAGACAUUAGUAAAUAGCCAUUUUAUUUUAAUUCAUCUGUCCAUAACAGUCCCCCCUUAAAAUGGCAAUUUUUACUAAAACUACUAUCUCUCAUUCUAAUACUGUCCCUAUAGAAAAAUAACAAAAGGCUAUCUUGCACAUCUGUCUGAACAGGCCUCGAACACUUCACUGCGCG